AGAGUUUGAUUAUGGCUCAGAUUGAACGCUGGCGGCGUGCUUAACACAUGCAAGUCGCGCGUGAAAGGACUUCGGUCCGAGUAAAGCGGCGCACGGGUGAGUAACGCGUGGAUGAUCUACCCAUGAGUUAGGAAUAACGGCUGGAAACGGUCGCUAAUACCAAAUACGCUCCGAUUUCAACUUCGGGGGAAAGGUGGCCUCUGCUUGCAAGCUACUGCUCAUGGAUGAGUCCGCGUCCCAUUAGCUAGUUGGUGGGGUAACGGCCCACCAAGGCGACGAUGGGUAGCCGGUCUGAGAGGAUGACCGGCCACACUGGGACUGGAACACGGCCCAGACUCCUACGGGAGGCAACAGUGGGGAAUAUUGCGCAAUGGGCGAAAGCCUGACGCAGCGACGCCGCGUGAGGGAAUGAAGGUCCUCGGAUCGUAAACCUCUGUCAGGAGGGAAGAACCGCCACGGUGCUAAUCAGCCGUGGUCUGACGGUACCUCCAAAGGAAGCACCGGCUAACUCCGUGCCAGCCGCCGC
rnacentral:rRNA from 1 species